GAUGAACGCUGGCGGCGUGCUUAACACAUGCAAGUCGAACGGAAAGGCCCAAGCUUGCUUGGGUACUCGAGUGGCGAACGGGUGAGUAACACGUGGGUGAUCUGCCCUGCACUUCGGGAUAAGCCUGGGAAACUGGGUCUAAUACCGGAUAGGACGAUGGUUUGGAUGCCAUUGUGGAAAGUUUUUUCGGUGUGGGAUGAGCUCGCGGCCUAUCAGCUUGUUGGUGGGGUAAUGGCCUACCAAGGCGUCGACGGGUAGCCGGCCUGAGAGGGUGUACGGCCACAUUGGGACUGAGAUACGGCCCAGGCUCCUACGGGAGGCAGCAGUGGGGAAUAUUGCACAAUGGGCGCAAGCCUGAUGCAGCGACGCCGCGUGGGGGAUGACGGCCUUCGGGUUGUAAACUCCUGUCGCUAGGGACGAAGCGUUUUUGUGACGGUACCUGGAGAAGAAGCACCGGCUAACUACGUG
rnacentral:rRNA from 1 species